rnacentral:tRNA from 1 species
CAAAAGAUAGUUUAGGUAAAAUACUGGCUUUGGGGGCUAGUGAUGAGGAGUUAAAGUCCUUUCUUUUGA